rnacentral:rRNA from 1 species
GAAACGGACUGCUAAGACUGGAUAGGAAACAUGCAGGCAUCUGCGUGUUUUUAAAAGACCUUUUGCAAAAAGGGUAUGCUUAAAGAGGGGCUUGCGCCACAUUAGUUAGUUGGUAAGGUAAUGGCUUACCAAGACGAUGAUGUGUAGCUGGACUAAGAGGUUGAACAGCCACAUUGGGACUGAGACACGGCCCCAAACUCCUACGGGAGGCAGCAGUAGGGAAUUUUCGGCAAUGGAGGAAACUCUGACCGAGCAACGCCGCGUGAACGAUGAAGUAUUUCGGUAUGUAAAGUUCUUUUAUUGAAGAAGAAAAAUAGUGGAAAAACUAUCUUGACGCUAUUCAAUGAAUAAGCCCCGGCUAACUAUGUGCCAGCAGCCGCGGUAAUACAUAGGGGGCGAGCGUUAUCCGGAAUUAUUGGGCGUAAAGGGUGCGUAGGCGGUUUAAUAAGUCUCUAGUUUAAUUUCAGCGCUUAACGCUGUCCUGCUAGAGAAACUGUUUGACUAGAGUCAGAUAGAGGUAAGCGGAAUUCCAUGUGUAGCGGUAAAAUGUGUAAAUAUAUGGAGGAACACCAGAGGCGUAGGCGGCUUACUGGGUCUUGACUGACGCUGAGGCACGAAAGCGUGGGGAGCAAACAGGAUUAGAUACCCUGGUAGUCCACGCCGUAAACGAUGAGUACUAAGUGUCGGGGUUAAUCCCUCGGUACUGAAGUCAACACAUUAAGUACUCCGCCUGAGUAGUACGUACGCAAGUAUGAAACUUAAAGGAAUUGACGGGAUCCCGCACAAGCGGUGGAUCAUGUUGUUUAAUUCGAAGAUACACGAAAAACCUUACCAGGUCUUGACAUACUCUGCAAAGCUAUAGAAAUAUAGUGGAGGUUAUCAGGGAUACAGGUGGUGCAUGGUUGUCGUCAGUUCGUGUCGUGAGAUGUUAGGUUAAGUCCUAAAACGAGCGCAACCCUUGUCGUUAGUUACCAGCAUGUAAAGAUGGGGACUCUAGCGAGACUGCCAAUGAAAAAAUUGGAGGAAGGUGAGGAUUACGUCAAAUCAUCAUGCCCCUUAUGAUCUGGGCUACAAACGUGAUACAAUGGCUAUGACAAAGAGCAGCUGAAACGUGAGUUUUUAGCAAAUCUCAAAAAAUAGUCUCAGUUCGGAUUGAAGUCUGCAACUCGACUUCAUGAAGUUGGAAUCGCUAGUAAUCGCGAAUCAGCAUGUCGCGGUGAAUACGUUCUCGGGGUUUGUACACACCGCCCGUCAAACCAUGAAAAUUGACAAUACCCAAAAACGAUAGCCUAACUGCGUUUACGCAGAGGGAUUCGUCUAAGGUAGGGUUGAUGAUUGGGGUUAAGUCGUAACAAGGUAUCCCUACCGGAAGGUGGGGAUGGAUCACCUCCUUUCU